rnacentral:rRNA from 1 species
AUUAGUGGCGCACGGGUGAGUAACGCAUAGGUCAUGUGCCUCUUAGUUUGGGAUAGCCAUUGGAAACGAUGAUUAAUACCAGAUACUCCCUACGGGGGAAAGAUUUAUCGCUAAGAGAUCAGCCUAUGUCCUAUCAGCUUGUUGGUAAGGUAAUGGCUUACCAAGGCUAUGACGGGUAUCCGGCCUGAGAGGGUGAACGGACACACUGGAACUGAGACACGGUCCAGACUCCUACGGGAGGCAGCAGUAGGGAAUAUUGCUCAAUGGGGGAAACCCUGAAGCAGCAACGCCGCGUGGAGGAUGAAGGUUUUAGGAUUGUAAACUCCUUUUGUUAGAGAAGAUAAUGACGGUAUCUAACGAAUAAGCACCGGCUAACUCCGUGCCAGCAGCCGCGGUAAUACGGAGGGUGCAAGCGUUACUCGGAAUCACUGGGCGUAAAGAGCGCGUAGGCGGGAUAGUCAGUCAGGUGUGAAAUCCUAUGGCUUAACCAUAGAACUGCAUUUGAAACUACUAUUCUAGAGUGUGGGAGAGGUAGGUGGAAUUCUUGGUGUAGGGGUAAAAUCCGUAGAGAUCAAGAGGAAUACUCAUUGCGAAGGCGACCUGCUGGAACAUUACUGACGCUGAUUGCGCGAAAGCGUGGGGAGCAAACAGGAUUAGAUACCCUGGUAGUCCACGCCCUAAACGAUGGAUGCUAGUUGUUGGAGGGCUUAGUCUCUCCAGUAAUGCAGCUAACGCAUUAAGCAUCCCGCCUGGGGAGUACGGUCGCAAGAUUAAAACUCAAAGGAAUAGACGGGGACCCGCACAAGCGGUGGAGCAUGUGGUUUAAUUCGAAGAUACACGAAGAACCUUACCUAGGCUUGACAUUGAGAGAAUCCGCUAGAAAUAGUGGAGUGUCUAGCUUGCUAGACCUUGAAAACAGGUGCUGCACGGCUGUCGUCAGCUCGUGUCGUGAGAUGUUGGGUUAAGUCCCGCAACGAGCGCAACCCCCUUUCUUAGUUGCUAACAGGUCAUGCUGAGAACUCUAAGGAUACUGCCUCCGUAAGGAGGAGGAAGGUGGGGACGACGUCAAGUCAUCAUGGCCCUUACGCCUAGGGCUACACACGUGCUACAAUGGGGUGCACAAAGAGAAGCAAUACUGCGAAGUGGAGCCAAUCUUCAAAACACCUCUCAGUUCGGAUUGUAGGCUGCAACUCGCCUGCAUGAAGCUGGAAUCGCUAGUAAUCGCAAAUCAGCCAUGUUGCGGUGAAUACGUUCCCGGGUCUUGUACUCACCGCCCGUCACACCAUGGGAGUUGUGUUUGCCUUAAGUCAGGAUGCUAAAUUAGCUACUGCCCACGGCACACACAGCGACUGGGGUGAAGUCGUAACAAGGUAACCGUAGGUGAACCUGCGGUUG